AAGAGAGUAGCCAGUCAAGCAAACAUGCUCUGUAAAGCAGUUUGUCCUUUUAGGGCUACUGUAGAAACAUGACAGCGCAAAAUGGCGAAUUUGAUGUAAGGUGACCCGUGGUGCAUGUAUCUAGAAAUGGCUCAUUCUAAGGACAUGCUGUGCGACAUGUGGCGAGCUGAGUAUGUUUGACCCCACAUACCAGCAUUGGGAAAAUCAUGGAGAGUGGAUACAAAGACAUGGUUGGAGUCGUCAGUAUGCAGAUUGAUGUGGUGAUUUACUGCUUUAUCAUGAUAAAUAAAAGGUAUGAUCUAUGAGAGGGAAUUCAAAAGGAAUCAGGUUGCAUGCCUACACACAAUACUGUCAGAGAAGCACAGUCAAUCAUGCCUGUGUUUGCCACUUAGAUUGUGAUGAAGAUGCUAUUACUGCCGCACGAUGCAGAGAAAACAAGAAAAGGUAUUUUAUGCUGUCAACUGAAGUGUGCAAAUGAAAAUGUCUGCAAUAGUUGAAGAUGAUUGAAUCUGAUGGCCAGUCAAAGUCCCCACGCAUACUGCCUGAUCAAACGCUAUUUUUUCCAUUCCAUUCCUGUUUCCUUUGCUGUUCCCUACUCACUUGGAAGUGGAUUCUUGAGGAAUCCAAAAUGCAAAAUACAAAUCCAAAAUGUCUCGCAGGCCUGUCUAACAAAGGCUAAUUUUGUUUUCUGCUAGCUACAGGAGAUGCACUUAAAAGAGGAGAUGCACAUAAAAAGGAGACUUCUGGGGAAUCUUGACUGAGGAAGACAAUACAAGAGACAAGCGAAAGAGCCUUGAAAAAAAUCCAACAGCAAUUCUGUGAGAACUCUCCGCAUCACCAGGGUUACCAUGGAAGCCAUAGCCAGAAAGAAAGUGAGCGAGACAAAAAGAGAGAAAGAGAUUGUUCCAUCACAUCAUCAUCCCUCUUUUUAACUUCAGCGGCUAAAGAAGGUGAGGAAGUGAGGAUUCCACAAAAAAGUCUGCAGUAAGCUUCGCAGACAUGGAGAAACCCAGAGUUCAUCUCUCAAGGCUCUGUGGAGGUGAGAGGUGUUGAGUAAUUGAGGGGGUGAAAUCUGAUUUUCCAAGGCAACAAGAUUCUUCAUAAAGCCAAGAACAUUCAGAAGAAGCUUCAAUAUAGGGACCUUCAUGGUGACUAAUAUUUGUGGCAACAAAAUCUGUUUGACGUACUGGACAUGGCAUACAGGUCCUUCUCCGUUUCAGUUGUUUUCUGUCUGGUAAUCAUGAUUACAAUAGAUUAUCUGAUCUGUUAAUGUCUCUCUAUCACUGAACUAUACUUGUGUUGUAAAUAGAGACACUAGGAACUACACUGACUCAUCCCAUAGACACAGUCAAAUUGUUAAUUGCAAAUUGUAAAGCCUAGCGGGUAAUGAGUCCUAUUAAAUUUGGCUGUUUAUUACACCUCAUAGGUGUGCGGCUGCUCUCACAGUGGUUGGGAAAUGGAAGCUUGACAAUACCUGUGUCAGCCAUAAAUACUGGAAAAUGCAUCUAGUUUUCCUGACUGACAUGAAUGGCCUAUUUUCCUGAGGUGUUAAAUGGAGCACUGCUCCUACAGUACCUGCACGUUCUCUCUAGUAGUGCUGGUUCACUACUAGUGCAGUGCGUAGGCAUGCUUGUCUGUUGACAGCAUAGUGUUAAUGUGCAAAAAUACAAAGAUGCAGUUAGUUUUUCUUCUGAUCUUUCUAGUCUCUUCUUCUAAAUUGUGAUAGUUCUGGAUCCGUGAUUUCUCCAGAUAUUUUACAAGAUAUUAAUAGUGAUUUAAAUUAGUUUUUAAUUUACUUUAAGUAUAGAACAAUUUAAGGGUGCUUAAUAAGUGAUUUUCUGUUGUGCAGGAAUGUUUUUAUUAUCUUGCCCUUUUAGACAAGGUUAUGUUUUUGAUGCAGGGCCAGAGUUUCAGUGUUCAGUGAUUUCACAUAGUGAAUAUGACCAUUUACCAAUGUGCAAUAAAGGCGUAGUUCAAUGGGGCAUGAAUAAUUUGGCAUUGUUAUGAGUGCAUUACAUCAAGGUUUCCAUAGUUCCACAGCAUUGUCUGCAACUGUUGGGUUUGUCCACAUUAUUUCAGAACACAAUUAUUUAGAUUAUUCAGCUGCAGCUAAAAAGGCAGCUAAAACUGUUUGGCAUAUUGCAUACAUGUUGUGAAGUGAGAAGAAAUCAAAGAACAUUUUAGUCAUUUUAAGACUAGAAAAUCAAUACACUAUCCUCCAGAAAUAACCCUGUUAAAGCUCAAGAUUCUGCAAUGGUAAAUAAAGUCCUGUUUUGCAUGUAAUGGCUGGCUCAUGAUUGUGUUUCAGAGGCUGUUUCUGCUCAGAGUAUCCACAAAAAAACACUCCCAGGAGAGGAGACACACUAAUACAACUAAACCUGUAUUAACCUCCACUGACUCUGUAACAACAAUAAAGCUAUGGUACACCCAUUAUAAACUCCAGUCAAAGACAAAUGAAGGAAAUUAGGCUUAACCCAGUUAAGUGUAGGUGAGAACGUACAAACGUAAGGACUUGGAACAACACCGUGGCUCAUAGAGCUUAAGUGGCAAUACCUUGCAUAGUGCGGCACACUUUCAGAGACAGAGAGAAAUGCAACUAAUACCAGAGAAAAUGGAAUUUCAAGAUGGAUGCCUCUAAUCACUGUUCUGAUAUACUGCAGAGUCAGUCAACGAAAUUGGAGGGAGAGGAGUCGGAGAAUCGUUGCCUGUCGUUAUUUGCCAGACCUGAUAUCACAGAGCUAGCAUCAUCUUGAUUGGGCCUGUGAAAUAUAGGGGUAUGUUUGAAUAAAUGUGUCCGGUGGGCAGAAGGCCUGCUGACCCUGGGAAGUAACUCAGGCUGAACGGUGGCAGCCCGGCUCCAAUGUUUGCUUUGGGCCGAGUUGUUUGAGAUGGGCUGUAAAUCUUGGGCUGGGAACUGAUUACUAAGUUUGAGGUCCUCUUAAAGCUCAAGAUAGCGCCUCUGGGUAUUGGGAAAUAGCUGUAGCAAUUCAGUGCAAACUGCUUUUGGGAUAAUAAUGUUGUUGGUUGUUUUCUUCAUUUUUUUUUUUUUUUUUUUUUUUACUUUAAUUUGUGGUAAUACCCCCACAACCCAUUUUUUAUUAUUAUUAUUGUAAAGAAGUUAUAUUGGCACUAAAUUGGGGUUUUAUACACAUUGAGAACACUUUUCUAGAAAGUGCAUUAAUGUAUUAUACUACUUCACCUACAGGCAAUAAUUAGUUGAUUGUCACAAACACAAAAUACUUAUUUGGGGGUUAAAACAUACAGUAUCUGCCAAGAACAUAAAAGUAACAUAUAAAUUACCAGCAAGCUUACAUGGGUGAUUGAAAUAUAUACAGUAAAAUGCCAGUUGUAGCUAUAGAAUUUAAUUUCAGUUAAACUUCUGUCAUACAGAUCACAUGUACAGAAAGUAGGGCAGAGGUGGAAUUGCUUCCUGUAGAAAUAGCCCUUUGUGUUAUAAGGACAGUUCAAAGGGAAUAGUUCAAAUGGACUCAAGAAUUUUUCUCGCUCAUUCACACAAAUACCUAUAGAAAGACACCCAUGCUCUCUCUCCUUUUUGUAUUUCACCGCGGCUUUCGUUCUGUUUCCUCCUCUCUUCAUAUGCUUAGUGUAAGCUGUUCUAUCAGGCCUGUAGGACGCAAAGGGCCUAGCUGCCAGCCAGUUUGCAUAGACCUCUCAGUGGGUGGCAUAGUCUGUUUUGCUGUUCCUCCCCCUGCCCUUUACUUCAUUGAUUUGUUAUUAUAAAGUAAGGGACGAGUCCAUUAAACAGGCUUUGCUAUGCAAUGUGUGUGCAUAAUGUUUCCAGUGCAAUGCACAAGGAACAUUUCCCUUUGCACCUGCUCCUACGUGCUCACAAAAUCAGCGCCGAGUCAACGGUUAAUGCAGAAUCAAUGUUCCAAAUUAACCGAUGGACCCCACAGGUUUCAGCUUUACUACUGCCGUCAUUUGUUUCCCUCAAAGAAUACAAGCAUACAUAGACAAUUUCUAAAAUUUAAAACUGUUUGAUGCUGAUUUGCUCCUUUAAGAAAAUCAAAUUCAUGCUGACAUAAAUGAAUUAGAACAUUCUUAAAAUAAAUAUCAGUGCUUACAAAAAAAAAAAAAAAAAGCCUUCGUUUCUGUGUAAAUGAAAUGCCACAUUAGAACCGCUUUGCAGUUGUCAUGACAGUCAGCAUGCAUCUUAUUUUCUGUUGGCUGUGCAUGAGAUCUCACACCCAACAAAACACUGUAUUUGCAGUUUAAGAGUGACUUUAAACUGUUAAAUAGAUCUAGACCAAAAAGACCAAUUACAAUUCACAAUGCAAAUAAAUGCAUAUCAAAAUUUGUUAAAAAACAUAAAUGGCAUUUCCCCCCAAUUUUAAUAUUAUAUUUCUUAAAAAUUGUGGAGAAGAGUGAAAAAGUAGAGGAAUGUUAUUAAAUGUAAGCAAAGGCAUGCUUAAAAGGUUUAAAUGCUUACACACCAGUUUGCCAAGUAUUACUACUUUUCCGAUCAAGGAUCAAUAAAUCUCUUCAUCUCUCAUUCCUAUUAUUGACCCCUUUCUAAGCUAGUCUUCAUUGGAAGGCAUUACAGCUUGUAUUGAAUCUGGAUUCAACUAAUUCUCUGGGUGCAAAUGUGUUUUGUAGUUAAAAACAUAACACAUUGACAUGAAUUAGAAUGCAGAAUGUUUGUAUGCCGCUAUAAUCAUUUUUACAUCAGAUAGACAUUUUUUAUUAUAAUUUUACAUCUCUAAUUAUGCAUUCUCUUUUAGUUUUAAUAGUUUUCUGGCAUUUUCCACUGAGUUCUAAAUAUGCUGUAAGAACAUUUUGACUCGUCCGUCCCUAACAGUUGAUCCAUGGUGUUAUGUGCUAUACGAUUUGUUACUGGUGCAAGUGUCAUUGUCACAUCAUUGUCAUUUAUUUGAAAUGACAAAAUGGACUUCACUGUGCUUAAUGAGGAAAAACCAUAUGUUAAUUUGUAUUUUAAAAGCUUUUCUGGGUAAAUUACCGCAGUAUAUAUCUAGUUUGUUGACAUACUGUACUAGUAUCUAUAAUACUAGAACAAUGUUUACUUAAGAUGCCAAAUUUUAUACAGAAAUAGGUAGAUCUGUUUUUUUUUUUUUUUAAUUAUGCUCCAUAUGCAUGGAAUGAGCUUCAAGGUAUUCUACACAUGAAAUCUGUACCACCUCUCGCUUUUUUAAAAAACAUUUUAAAGUCUGUUUUUAUGAAACAGUGUAAAUGUUUUAAUAGCUGAUUAAGAUUUGUAUUUUUUUUUUUGUUUGUUUUUUUAGAUAUGGGUGUUUUGCGUUUGUUUAUUGUGUGGUGUUAUGUACUUCUUUGUAAUCUUUGUAUUGUGCUGCCUAUCUUAACCAGGUUUCCCCGGUAGAAGAGAUACUGUAUCUCAAAGGUACCUUAAAUAAAUAAAUAAAUGUGUAUACAACCAUAUUACUCAUAUAGAGGCAUGCAACGUUGCUGUUUGCUCUAACAUACAUAACCUAGCCUGAGGAAAGGAUACUGUGCACAACGCACAUGUUAACUGCAUCACUAAACUACACUAUAUAUGAAGAACCUAAUUAUGAAAACCAAUAAAAUCCCCCAGGGUAAAAAUACAGUAUUUCUCUCUAAUUGGGCCUGAUUGAUUGAAAGCUUGUUCCCAACAGCAAGUGUCAGUCGAUCUAUUGGUGUAGCAGAGCAUGGUUCUAAACAUCUCUAGCUUGAGUGUUUUUACAUAAUGAGAUCCCAGUUCUUCCAGUAUAUGCUGUAUACCGCACCGUAUGCCUCUACUACAGGUAUCAGUCUAUUCUAAGAACAGAUGGAGAGCACAGCAGUGCUCCUCAGAUGGUUCUGCACUGUUUACUCCUGAAAGCACAGAUAGCAUAUGCUGCUAUCAUAUUCUCUUAUUAAAGUCUAUAUUUUGAAAAAGCACUAGUCGAGGCUUUUGAAACAAUGAAAGAAUGUGGUGACCUUUUCAAUAGAUAGAGAUUUGGUAGAAGUCAUUCUAGGUAGUCUAGGUAUCUUUUUUUGCCUUAUAUUAGGACUGUCAGCGUUAGUGCAUUAACGCAUGUGAUUAAUUCCAAAUCCUUAAUGUGUUAAAAUAAUUUAACGAAAAUAAUGCAAAUAAAAGAAAAAAUUGCAACAUUAACGUAGUUUACAAAACACAGCUAGAUGACCUUGGGAGUCGGGAGUUUAUCACACUGAGCAUCUACAAUGGCGCAAGCACCCUGGUAGGCCGAAAUGAUUUGACUACUGCAGUUUUAAAAACUGACGGUAAAUACUGUCCACCAUUAAGCAAAGAGCAACAAUCUCACACAGGCACCCAGGCAAAAUUGUUUGUUCAUUUAAAAUCCGGCCGUUGUUGUUAAUGUUAUUAUUUUGUAACACUUUACAAUAAGGUUCAUUAGUUAACUCCAUUAGUUAACAUGAACUAAUAAUGAACUGCACUUCUACAGCAUUUAUUAAUCUUUGUUCAUGUUAAUUUCAACAUGUCCUAAUACAUUAUUAAAAUCAAGAGUUGUAUUUGUUAACAUUAAAGGAUUAGUUCACUUCAGAAUUAAAAUUUCCUGAAAAUUUACUCACCCCCAUGACAUCCAAGAUGUUUGUCUUUCUUUCUUCAGUGGAAAAGAAAUUAAGGUUUUUGAGGAAAACAUUCCAGGAUUUUUCUCCAUAUAGUGGACUUCAACAGGGUUCAACAGGGUUGAAGGUCUAAAUUGCAGUUUUAAUGCAACUUCAAAGGGCUCUACACGAUCCCAGCUGAGGAAUAAGGGUCUUAUCUAGUGAAAUGAUCGGUCAUUUUCUAAAAAAAAAAAAAAAAAAAGAGAGAGAAUCUCCUUUUCUCCUCCAACUUCAAAAUCAUUCAACAUCAUUGUUUUACCUUUUUUGUAAAGGGCGUUUGACUUAGUUUUGCAUGUUCACUUUGUAAACAAUUGCUCGGUACUUCCGCCUACAUCACGCGUGACCUUUCCAAUGUGAUUAGGUAAUGCGUGGUGCAUCCCAGAGCUAAGUAUAUAAAAAGAAUAUAACUUUUAUUUAUUUUUUUAGAAAAUGACCUAUUGU